GAUGAACGCUGACGGCGUGCCUAAUACAUGCAAGUCGAGAGAAGCGGGGACGGGUGAGUAACACGUGGAUAACCUCCUAUAAGACUGGGAUAAAUUCGGGAAACCGGAGAUAAACCGGAUACUGAUAGAUGGAUCCGCGCUGAAUUAGCUAGUUGGUAAGGUAACGGCUUACCAAGGCAACGAUGCAUAGCCGACCUGAAAGGUGGGCCGCCCACACUGGGCCUGAGUUUCGGUCCUGGCUCCUACUGGAGGCCGCGUUAGGGAACCUUCCGCAAUGGACGAAAGCCUGACGGAGCAACGCCGCGUGAGUGAUGAAGGUCUUCGGUUCGUAAAACUCUGUUAUUAGGGCAGCGGUAUCUAAUCAGAAAUCCACCGCUAACUACGUGCCAGCCGCCGCGGUAUUUC
rnacentral:rRNA from 1 species